rnacentral:rRNA from 1 species
UACGGAGGAUGCGAGCGUUAUCCGGAUUUAUUGGGUUUAAAGGGUGCGCAGGCGGGGUCUUAAGUCAGCGGUGAAAUCUCCGAGCUCAACUCGGAACCUGCCGUUGAAACUGGGACUCUUGAGUGUAGAUGAAGUAGGCGGAAUUCGUUGUGUAGCGGUGAAAUGCAUAGAUAUAACGAGGAACCCCGAUUGCGUAGGCAGCUUACUAAACUAUAACUGACGCUCAUGCACGAAAGCGUGGGUAUCCAAC